AGUUGGUAUGCUGGUGCAUUUCUUGGCGUAUGGAGGCAAAUUGGGAAUUCAAUCCAAUUUGGACCUGAUAUCAAACAAGACUACCCGCUGAACU
rnacentral:rRNA from 1 species